rnacentral:rRNA from 1 species
AUGGCGAACCCCCCUUCCACCCCACUCCUCUUCGCCUCCUCCCACCCAACCCCGCCGCCGGUGACCUCCUCUUCCCCCACCACCGGUGCCCUCUCCCCUCCCCUCCCAGAUCGACUAGACCAGAUCCGGCCAGGCUCUCCAUCCCUCCUCGCGCCUGAAACACUAGAAGCCCCUAUUUUUCCUACCCAAACGCCGCCGCACUCCGCCGACUCCCCAAUCCCCGCCGGCGACCUCUACUCACCCUCUCCUCUGCCCCUCACUUUCCCUCCAAAGGGAAGGCCCCAGACCGGCCGGAUCCACCAUGCCCACAGUGGGGCUUCCGGAUCCGACGCCCGCAACCAGAGGAGGAGUGCCUUCCGGAUCCCAUCUGCUCUCUUCCACAAUUCCACCCAUGGAGGUCUUCUUCUUCAUCUCCAUACCUGA